UUUAUCAAAUAACCUCCAAGUGUCGGUAGAUUUCUAAUCAUAAUAUUAUCGUAGAUGACGAUGAAUGGAUGAAAUUUAUCAUCUCAUCCAAACUGUUUUUUUUUUUUUUUUUUUAUAACAGAAAAGAAAGAAAAAAUAAUUCAAAAAGAAAAUAGCUAGGAAACAAAAUGAAUUAGGACAUGGUACGCAGCCGGCUUUAGGGUUUUUGCAGAGACUGAAGAAAAAUCAAACCCAAAACCAAAAGAAACAGCACAGCUAGACACAUGACUUUUGCAUUCAAGCUCUCUUGUUCAUUCAUUCAUUAUCAUUUAUCGAACACCUCAACACAACUUGAUGCUCACUGUUCACUUCACUUUACCCUACAAACAGACUUUUCCCCUAGUCGUCAUCGCCACCCCAUUCCCACGGCACCCACAUGGAAGCCCACCGUUUCUAAGUUCUUAAUCAAUC
rnacentral:lncRNA from 1 species